rnacentral:rRNA from 1 species
ACGGGUGAGUAAUGCUUAGGAAUCUGCCUAUUAGUGGGGGACAACAUCUCGAAAGGGAUGCUAAUACCGCAUACGUCCUACGGGAGAAGGCAGGGGACCUUCGGGCCUUGCGCUAAUAGAUGAGCCUAAGUCGGAUUAGCUAGUUGGUGGGGUAAAGGCCUACCAAGGCGACGAUCUGUAGCGGGUCUGAGAGGAUGAUCCGCCACACUGGGACUGAGACACGGCCCAGACUCCUACGGGAGGCAGCAGUGGGGAAUAUUGGACAAUGGGGGGAACCCUGAUCCAGCCAUGCCGCGUGUGUGAAGAAGGCCUUUUGGUUGUAAAGCACUUUAAGCGAGGAGGAGGCUACCGAGAUUAAUACUCUUGGAUAGUGGACGUUACUCGCAGAAUAAGCACCGGCUAACUCUGUGCCAGCAGCCGCGGUAAUACAGAGGGUGCAAGCGUUAAUCGGAUUUACUGGGCGUAAAGCGCGCGUAGGUGGCCAAUUAAGUCAAAUGUGAAAUCCCCGAGCUUAACUUGGGAAUUGCAUUCGAUACUGGUUGGCUAGAGUAUGGGAGAGGAUGGUAGAAUUCCAGGUGUAGCGGUGA